GAUGAACGCUGGCGGCGUGCCUAAUACAUGCAAGUCGAGCGAACAGACGAGGAGCUUGCUCCUCUGACGUUAGCGGCGGACGGGUGAGUAACACGUGGAUAACCUACCUAUAAGACUGGGAUAACUUCGGGAAACCGGAGCUAAUACCGGAUAAUAUAUUGAACCGCAUGGUUCAAUAGUGAAAGACGGUUUUGCUGUCACUUAUAGAUGGAUCCGCGCCGCAUUAGCUAGUUGGUAAGGUAACGGCUUACCAAGGCAACGAUGCGUAGCCGACCUGAGAGGGUGAUCGGCCACACUGGAACUGAGACACGGUCCAGACUCCUACGGGAGGCAGCAGUAGGGAAUCUUCCGCAAUGGGCGAAAGCUUGACGGAGCAACGCCGCGUGAGUGAUGAAGGUCUUCGGAUCGUAAAACUCUGUUAUUAGGGAAGAACAAAUGUGUAAGUAACUAUGCACGUCUGGACGGUACCUAAGCAGAAAGCCACGGCUAACUACGA
rnacentral:rRNA from 1 species